CGUCAGGGGCUGCGGCGUUUCCCGGGGCAGCCGCUGGUGUGAGGAGCACGUCCCUCGAGUGCUGUUCUAAAGCAGCCUUUCCUGCGCAGCGUCCUCGGCGUGAGACGGGCCUGGGGGCGGGGCGAUCCGCGGGGCCGCAGGCCGAGAGAGGCGCCCGCCGUGUCUCAGAGCACGUGCGCGUCCUGACCUGGAGUCCUCUCUCUGCUUGUCGUGCGCCGACAGGCUUUCACCACCACAUCUACUUAAGUUCCUGACACAGCGUCCCAGCACAUCCGAGAUCACCUGUGGCCGAUCCCCCACUCAGUGAGCACCCCACGCCGGGCAGGGUAAGCUGCGCCGGGGGUGAGAGAAGAACAAGAAGAGAGG